GUUGUUUUGGCAGAAUAGUGCAAAAGAUUUAGAAUCUUUAAAAGUAGGAUAAUCUUACAGGCAAUA
rnacentral:tRNA from 1 species